rnacentral:rRNA from 1 species
AUGACCUAUAGGCGAAGGGUGACGACGCAGAUGAGAUGGAGGUGCAGCAGCAUACGGGAGAGGGUCACCAGCCAGCGUCGUUCUGUGCUGGUGAGGUCGGGCUCCACCAUUCCUGUCCGUCGUCCUUACGCGUCACCGGCGCUGCAGUUGCGCGGGGUGUGGGGAAAGCAAGAGGGAGGGGAUGAGUGGGAGGCGCGAGGACGAAGGCGCUCCGGCGGCGGGGCCCGCCAGCCAUGCGGUGCUGGUCGUGGAGUACUCCAGAUCCCCUUUCGCUCGCUGCCACCACGGCCUUUCUCGCCAUCGACCUCCCAGGCGAUUCUCUCCCCAAAUUGUGCCUACAUGGCCAGAUUUAUUCAAGCCCCAGGUGAAGACACCUCCCUCACUGUCCAAGCGUGCUUCUCUACAUGGGCGGCGUCACCACGACCAGUUUGCCGAUUCAAGCCAAGGUGUAUUCACCUCAUCAUACCAUCUGUUCUAAUCAAGGCCACAGUCACUGCCCGGAAGGAGAUGUCGGGGUUGUCAUUGACUGGGAGGAGACAAGGAGCAGGAGACAGCAGGAGAGGCAAUUUGCGUAGCGCAUACUGCUCUUUGAACAAGCAGUUGAUGUCUUCACAAAAACUGCUCAAAAUCAACUAUGUGUUGUGGAGAAUGAUAUAUACAUUUAUAGAGUAUGUCCUGCUCGAGAACGGCGGCAAUGGAUGCCGGUGCUCCUCUUCAUCUUUCCCGACCUGCAAGGAUGUAAGCAUCCAGUACGGGACUGCACCAGCGCCGGUGGGUGUGUCCGGGGCGCCAGCUCGUCAUCGUCCACACCGCGCUGGAGCAGACACGCCUCUGUACAGCUCUCACGCCCGUAGGAAAAGUUCAAGCUCAUACGACGAUGCUGUUGUUUUUGACCUCCAAGGACGCGUGCCGGCAUUCGGCAACGCUAUUGUUGCUUUGGAAAUGCUAUUGGAUCUUAUAAAGAUUUUUGGACCUAUUAUUCAUUCGACAUUGUCAGCUAGCUCACUCGUUGGAGUAGAUCUUUACGCCGGAAAGAGAUCAGCGGGGGCUGAGUCCAGGAGGAUAUGA